UUCCUGACCUGCAUACAGGUUUCUCAAGAUAAAGGUGUAGGAGUGUGAUUUUGAACAAGUCACUCACCUGAAGAAUAGAGACAGAAUUGAAGAACAAGCCUAGAGACAAGGACACUUAGAUGAUUGCUUCAACAGAGGCCAUGUUAGAGCCAAAUGAUGAAUCCCUAAAUUUGAACUAUAGAGAAUUACAGAGGAUAAACUUGAAAGGUUACACACUGUCUGAAUACUCUGUGUCUUCGUAAUUUCCAAAGAACCAGUGUGACUCCAGUCAAGAAAAGAUUAAUUGUAAAUUAGUGAAGAACUCCAUAAUUUUUUUUUCAAGAGAUCUCAUGGAAAAUGCAUUCUAAUGAAGUCUUUUCCAGUACUCGUUUUUCCUACCUCUUCAAUAAAGGAUGCAAUUUGAGCAGAA